rnacentral:rRNA from 1 species
GACGUAGGGCGCGAGCGUUGUCCGGAUUUAUUGGGCGUAAAGAGCUCGUAGGCGGCUUGUCGCGUCGACUGUGAAAACCCGCGGGCUCAACUGCGGGCCUGCAGCCGAUACGGGCAGGCUAGAGUUCGGUAGGGGAGACUGGAAUUCCUGGUGUAGCGGUGAAAUGCGCAGAUAUCAGGAGGAACACCGGUGGCGAAGGCGGGUCUCUGGGCCGAUACUGACGCUGGAGGAGCG